UCUAGAUAUCAUGAUCACAAAGGUAAUUUUCCCAGGGUGAGGCUCAUCCAUUGCACUCCGGGUAUGCUGACCUCUGUGAUUUCCCCAAAUGGGGGAAACUCAA
ensembl:snRNA U1 U1 spliceosomal RNA